CAUCCCAAACACACGAUUACCACUCUCUCUCUCUCUCUCUCUCACACACACACAGUCUGACACACACUUCUUCAUGACUCAACGAUCCUUUCAAUCAUCAGUUUCACACUCAAUCUUGCAUAGUUGCAUGAUGCUAUGGAGAAGAUCGAGGAAAAAGAAAUGUGCAUCAUAUGUGUUCGACGACAUUCAGUAGAUCUAACUCGUAUCAGUAUGUUAUUCAGUCGAUCAGUGUGUUGUAAUUUACCGGACAAAUUAUUGCAAGUCGGUAUCACACGCCAAUUACAGGCGGCGUUCGACAUUCAGGAGUUGUUACUCGUAAUCGCUAAAGUUAAAUGAUGGGAUAUUGAGAGUGACGUUCAAGUUUGUGCUAAAUGAGUCUGGGAGUGUAUCAAUUGCGAUCGAUUCUGUCCUGCAAAUUAUAUUGUAUCUGAUCAUAGUAUUUCCUUUAUUCAUACUAGAACUAGAAUCUACUGGUUUUUGUUAAUGCUUUUCCUGUUUAAAAUGCAGAAACAAAUUUCUUAAAGCUGACUCUGCGUAUCAUGUUUUAUCAUUUGGAUCUUGAUAAGUAGCAUUCGAGCACAUGCAAAAGAUAAAAUGCUGAAGAAAAUAUAAGCAUCUAUGCAUUGUAUAUCUUAGCAUAUCCUGUCUAAUGACAGGAUGAUGAUGGGUUCAACAUCGGAUAAAUAAUGCCCUUUUUGGAUGAAUGAAGGCAGAUAUAAGACCUUGCAAGUUACUGUGUAUCUGUUCGGCUGGAUGAACAGAGGCAACAUAUGAAGAAUUGCCAGAAUUUUGGAUGAGGUGCUACUAAUUCUUGUUACAAAUUUUUUUUAUCCGGGUUAGCGUUGUAACUUGAAACAAAAUUAUCAGGUAACUUCGUGUAUCUGUUGCGCUUACAUGAUUAUUUCAUUGGAACUUGCACAUCUUUCUUACAUGUACUCACUAAUAGAGGCUAUCUGUUUAACUUAA